rnacentral:tRNA from 1 species
UCCCUGGUGGCUCAGUGGCAAAGUAUCUGCCUGCCAGUGCAGGAGACACAAGUUCAAUCUCUGGUCCAGGAAG